AGUGGAUGGGGAGCAACCUAGUUGUGCGUGUGUAAAGGUAGUGCCAAGAAAAGCGAUGAUCAUGUUGAAAAUCAAUUCCCGGUACCCGAAACCGACACAGGUGGGCAAGUAGAGAAUACUAAGGGGCGCGAGGUAACUCUCUCCAAGGAACUCGGCAAAAUGACCCCGUAACUUAGGGAGAAGGGGUGCCACCGAGAGGUGGUCGCAGUGAAGGGGCCCAGGCGACUGUUUAGCAAAAACAUAGGUCUCUGCAAACUCGAAAGAGGAGGUAUAGGGGCUGACGCCUGCCCAGUGCCGGAAGGUUAAAGAAGUUGGUCAGUCUUAGGAUGAAGCUAGCGACUGAAGCCCCGGUGAACGGCGGCCGUAACUAUAACGGUCCUAAGGUAGCGAAAUUCCUUGUCGGGUAAGUUCCGACCCGCACGAAAGGCGUAACGAUCUGGGCGCUGUCUCGGAGAGAGGCUCGGCGAAAUAGGAUUGUCUGUGAAGAUACGGACUACCUGCAUUUGGACAGAAAGACCCUAUGAAGCUUUACUAUAGCUUGGAAUUGUGUUCGGGCUUCCUGUGCGCAGGAUAGGUGGGAGGCGUAGAAGGUAUUCUUGUGGGGAUACUGGAGCCAACGGUGAGAUACCACUCUCAGGAGGCUAGAAUUCUAACUUAAUUAAGGACAGUUUCAGGUGGGUAGUUUGACUGGGGCGGUCGCCUCCAAAAAGGUAACGGAGGCGUACAAAGGUUCCCUCAGACUGGUUGGAAAUCAGUCGAAGAGUGCAAAGGCAGAAGGGAGCUUGACUGCGAGAAGUACAGUUCGAGCAGGGUGGAAACACGGUCUUAGUGAUCCGACGGUGCUGUGUGGAAGGGCCGUCGUUCAACGGAUAAAAGUUACUCUAGGAUAACAGGCUGAUCUCCCCCAAGAGUUCACAUCGACGGGGAGGUUUGGCACCUCGAUGUCGGCUCAUCGCAACCUGGGGCGGAAGUACGUCCCAAGGGUUGGGCUGUUCGCCCAUUAAAGCGGUACGUGAGCUGGGUUCAGAACGUCGUGAGACAGUUCGGUCCAUAUCCGAUGUAGGCGUGAGAAUAUUGAGAGGAGCCUUCCUUAGUACGAGAGGACCGGGAAGGACGCACCGCUGGUGUACCUGUUAUGAUGCCAAUUGUAAACGCAGGGUAGCCAAGUGCGGAGAGGAUAACCGCUGAAAGCAUCUAAGUGGGAAGCCCACCUCAAGAUGAGUAUUCUGGUGUAAGGUCACGGGAAGACGACCCGUAAAUAGGCACGAGGUGGAAGUGCAGAGAUGUAUGAAGCCGAAGUGUACUAAUAGACCGUCGGCUUGAUC
rnacentral:rRNA from 1 species